rnacentral:rRNA from 1 species
CAGCAUGUUCUAACUUCGGUUAGAAUGAUGGCGAGUGGCGGACGGGUGAGUAACGCGUAGGAAUCUACCUAGAAGUGGGGGGUAACCCGGGGAAACUCGGGCUAAUACCGCAUACGCUCUACGGAGGAAAGCUGGGGACCUUAGGGCCUGGCGCUUUUAGAUGAGCCUGCGUCAGAUUAGCUUGUUGGUGGGGUAAAGGCCUACCAAGGCGACGAUCUGUAGCCGAUUUGAGAGGAUGAUCAGCCACACUGGGACUGAGACACGGCCCAGACUCCUACGGGAGGCAGCAGUGGGGAAUUUUGGACAAUGGGCGAAAGCCUGAUCCAGCAAUGCCGCGUGUGCGAUGACGGCCUUCGGGUUGUAAAGCACUUUCAAUUGUGAAGAAAUGUGCACGGUUAAUACCCGUGUAAGCUGACGUUAACAAUAGAAGAAGCACCGGCUAACUCUGUGCCAGCAGCCGCGGUAAUACAGAGGGUGCGAGCGUUAAUCGGAAUUACUGGGCGUAAAGAGCGCGUAGGUGGUCUACUAAGUCAUGUGUGAAAGCCCUGAGCUUAACUUAGGAAUUGCAUGUGAUACUGGUAGUCUAGAGUAUGGUAGAGGGAAGUGGAAUUUCCGGUGUAGCGGUGAAAUGCAUAGAUAUCGGAAGGAACACCAGUGGCGAAGGCGACUUCCUGGGCCAAUACUGACACUGAGGCGCGAAAGCGUGGGUAGCAAACAGGAUUAGAUACCCUGGUAGUCCACGCCGUAAACGAUGAGAACUAGGUGUAAGAAUUUAUUUUUGUGCCGUAGCUAACGCGUUAAGUUCUCCGCCUGGGGAGUACGGCCGCAAGGCUAAAACUCAAAGGAAUUGACGGGGGCCCGCACAAGCGGUGGAGCAUGUGGUUUAAUUCGAUGCAACGCGAAAAACCUUACCUACCCUUGACAUCCCUGAAAUCGGCCAGCAGUGGUCGAGUGCCUUCGGGAAUCAGGUGACAGGUGCUGCAUGGCUGUCGUCAGCUCGUGUCGUGAGAAGUUUAGGUUAAGUCCUGCAACGAGCGCAACCC